UUUGGAUGUGAUGAGUGUCAGAUACCGCCCCAGUCUGAAUGUUCAUGACUGAUUGGUAUCCCCCUCUGAUCUGCU